GGGGGAAUUGCUCAGUGGUUAGAGCAUUUGCUGUGCAAAUAUGAGGACUGGAGUUCAAAUCUCCAACACCCA
rnacentral:tRNA from 1 species